rnacentral:rRNA from 1 species
GAUGAACGCUGGCGGCGUGCCUAAUACAUGCAAGUCGAGCGAACGGACGAGGAGCUUGCUCCUUUGACGUUAGCGGCGGACGGGUGAGUAACACGUGGAUAACCUACCUAUAAGACUGGGAUAACUUCGGGAAACCGGAGCUAAUACCGGAUAAUAUAUUGAACCGCAUGGUUCAAUAGUGAAAGACGGUUUUGCUGUCACUUAUAGAUGGAUCCGCGCCGCAUUAGCUAGUUGGUAAGGUAACGGCUUACCAAGGCAACGAUGCGUAGCCGACCUGAGAGGGUGAUCGGCCACACUGGAACUGAGACACGGUCCAGACUCCUACGGGAGGCAGCAGUAGGGAAUCUUCCGCAAUGGGCGAAAGCCUGACGGAGCCACGCCGCGUGAGUGAUGAAGGUCUUCGGAUCGUAAAACUCUGUUAUUAGGGAAGAACAAAUGUGUAAGUAACUAUGCACGUCUUGACGGUACCUAAUCAGAAAGCCACGGCUAACUACGUG